rnacentral:rRNA from 1 species
UACGUAGGGUGCGAGCGUUGUCCGGAAUUAUUGGGCGUAAAGAGCUCGUAGGCGGUUUGUCGCGUCUGCUGUGAAAACCCGAGGCUCAACCUCGGGCCUGCAGUGGGUACGGGCAGACUAGAGUGCGGUAGGGGAGAUUGGAAUUCCUGGUGUAGCGGUGAAAUGCGCAGAUAUCAGGAAGAACACCCGUGGCUAAGGCGGCUCUCUAGUACGGUACUGACGCUGAGACGCGAAAGCGUGGGGAGCGAACAGG